rnacentral:tRNA from 2 species
GGGCUCAUGGUCUAGCGGUUAUGACGUCUCCUUGACAUGGAGAAGAUCGCCAGUUCAAAUCUGGCUGAGCCCA